rnacentral:rRNA from 1 species
AGAACUUAGCAGAGAUGCUUUGGUGCCUUCGGGAACUCUGAGACAGGUGCUGCAUGGCUGUCGUCAGCUCGUGUUGUGAAAUGUUGGGUUAAGUCCCGCAACGAGCGCAACCCUUAUCCUUUGUUGCCAGCGGUCCGGCCGGGAACUCAAAGGAGACUGCCAGUGAUAAACUGGAGGAAGGUGGGGAUGACGUCAAGUCAUCAUGGCCCUUACGAGUAGGGCUACACACGUGCUACAAUGGCGCAUACAAGAGAAGCGACCUCGCGAGAGCAAGCGGACCUCAUAAAGUGCGUCGUAGUCCGGAUUGGAGUCUGCAACUCGACUCCAUGAAGUCGGAAUCGCUAGUAAUCGUAGAUCAGAAUGCUACGGUGAAUACGUUCCCGGGCCUUGUACACACCGCCCGUCACACCAUGGGAGGUGGGUUGACAAAAGAAGUAGGUAGCUUAACCUUCGGGAGGGCGCUUACCACUUUGUGAUUCAUGACUGGGGUGAAGUCGUAACAAGGUAAGCGUAGCGAG